rnacentral:rRNA from 1 species
GAUGAACGCUGGCGGCGUGCCUAAUACAUGCGAGUCGAGCGAACGGACGAGAAGCUUGCUUCUCUGAUGUUAGCGGCGGACGGGUGAGUAACACGUGGAUAACCUACCUAUAAGACUGGGAUAACUUCGGGAAACCGGAGCUAAUACCGGAUAAUAUUUUGAACCGCAUGGUUCAAAAGUGAAAGACGGUCUUGCUGUCACUUAUAGAUGGAUCCGCGCUGCAUUAGCUAGUUGGUAAGGUAACGGCUUACCAAGGCAACGAUGCAUAGCCGACCUGAGAGGGUGAUCGGCCACACUGGAACUGAGACACGGUCCAGACUCCUACGGGAGGCAGCAGUAGGGAAUCUUCCGCAAUGGGCGAAAGCCUGACGGAGCAACGCCGCGUGAGUGAUGAAGGUCUUCGGAUCGUAAAACUCUGUUAUUGGGGAAGAACAUAUGUGUAAGUAACUGUGCACAUCUUGACGGUACCUAAUCAGAAAGCCACGGCUAACUACGUG